UGCUAGUACCAGGACACUACUGGGAGGC
rnacentral:piRNA from 1 species